GAAAUCAGUUCAGCACUAAGUCACUUUGUCUAUAUGGCAAAUGUGAGAUGCAGUGUAUGGAACAUCAAUAUUCUACUAUGAGAAAUUAACGAUUUAAGUCCUUCUUAAAUGAGGCCAUUUACCCAUAGAGGGUGCCAGGCCCGUAUAACGUUAAUGAUUACUAGAUGGUGUUUCCAAAGAGUCGUGUUGCUUGAUAGUGCAGCACUAAGUGGGUGGUAAACUCCAUCUAAAACUAAAUAUAACCAUGAGACCGAUAGUAAACAAGUACCGUGAGGGAAAGUUGAAAAGAACUCUGAAUAGAGAGUUAAAUAGUACGUGAAACUGCUUAGAGGUUAAGCCCGAUGAACCUGAAUAUCCGUUAUGGAAAAUUCAUCAUUAGACUUGUAAUAUUUAAACAAUAUUAUAAUAAUAGUGUGCAUUUUUUCCAUAUAAGGACAUUGUAAUCUAUUAGUUAAAAAUAAUUUAUCAAAAAAUUUUAGAUAAAAGUUUAUUUAAAUUAAAAUGCUUGCAUUUUAACAUAAAAUAAAUGUCUUUAAUUUGAUAAAGUGCUGAUAGAUUUAUAUGAAUACAGUGCGUUAAUUUUUCGGAAUUAUAUAAUGGCAUGAUUAUCAUUGAUUUUUGUGUUUAUUAUAUGCACUUGUAUGAUUAACAAUGCGAAAGA
rnacentral:rRNA from 1 species